AGCCGAAACGCCUCGCGAUAGGAGGCGUCGCGGGGAUAUGGCCUACCCCGCCUGAUGAUGGCAGGCCGGA
rnacentral:hammerhead_ribozyme from 2 species